AGCCCGCACACACUGACCCGACGUACGGCAGGAGCGGGGGACCCACAGGUACAACUGCCUGUUCCGGGCCCCGGAAACAGGCUUGGGGUUAAGCCGCGCAGCAACGCGGCCGGACAUCUCCAGUCCGCACCCGACAGCUCACCUCGUAGGCGCCGGAGAGGAAUU
rfam:Streptomyces sp. 4F, complete genome.